GGGCAUUUAUAAAACAGCAUGUAAGCAUCUCUGCAGUUGCUGUCCCCAGAGCCCACUUCCUGGAUAUUGCCAGCUGCCUGGACCAACCUUUCCGAAAGAUCAGCCAGGUCACAGUGAGGGUCAAAGGUGAGGCAACACCCGGCCUGCUUCAGCUUGCCCCCCGUGGGCUGCACCCACUGUCCAACCAGUCCCAAUGAGAUGAACCAGAACAUUGGCAAGCACGUUGAUAGAGUGCCCACAUUGUACUGAACUCUGAGGGGAAUAGUCUCGUCCCCAUCACUCAGGUGGGGAAACUGAGCAGGAGGCCACUGGAGGCUCCAAGGGCUCUGAAAUGUUGAGAACUUCCCUGCAGGUACCAGCGAAGAGGGCAAGAACACAGCACUACUUCCUUGGAUACUGUUUCCCUCCUCAGAGGGGUUUUCUGAGCUGCCCUGGGUCCUGUGAGGAAGAAGUCCUAGCAGAGUAUGCCCACGCUGGUUAGUGCUGCUGCAAAGAUGAGCCGAAGACCAUGAGAGACCUCCAGGUGGUCCUUCUGGGGAGAAGAAAUGGGUUUUGGCCCCAAAUCCUUCUGCUGCAUUUUUCCCCUAUCCCUGGGAAGCCAUGAGACCUCAAACCUGUGUUCCCAAGGAGGCGAGCUGCUGUUCCCAGGUGAUGAUAUGAUGUGCUUGGGGAAAGUAAGUGGCUGCCAGACAUGGCUGAGAGCUGUUGUCACUGCCGUCAAGUGCAUGUCUCCAAGCCAUAUCACACGGCGUCCCUCGAUGUGAGGCCACAUGGCAAGUGGGCCGUGGAUCUCCCUCUGCCCUUUGCAAGCACGUAAGACAGCAGAUUUUGCAGAUACCUUGUGGCGCAGGGGAAUUUCCUUUGGCCAGGUCUGAAGAAAUAAAGCAGCAGGCACCGAGAACAAAGCCAAGGCUUUCAAAAGACAAGGAGCCAAAAAACUUACUCAAAAUAAAAGUAGUUUUAAAAUG
ensembl:lncRNA novel transcript